rnacentral:rRNA from 1 species
UACGUAGGGUGCAGGCGUUAAUCGGAAUUACUGGGCGUAAAGCGUGCGCAGGCGGCUUCCUAAGUCAGAUGUGAAAUCCCCGGGCUCAACCUGGGAACUGCGUUUGAAACUGGGAGGCUAGAGUGCGGCAGAGGGGGGUGGAAUUCCGACGUGUAGCAGUGAAAUGCGUAGAUAUGUGGAGGAACACCGAUGGGCGAAGGCGGCCUGCUGGGCAGUUGCUGACACUGAGGCGCGGACAGCGUGGGGAGCAAACAGG